GACGAACGCUGGCGGCGUGCUUAACACAUGCCAGUCGAACGGAAAGGCCCUGCUUUUGUGGGGUGCUCGAGUGGCGAACGGGUGAGUAACACGUGAGUAACCUGCCCUUGACUUUGGGAUAACUUCAGGAAACUGGGGCUAAUACCGGAUAGGAGCUCCUGCUGCAUGGUGGGGGUUGGAAAGUUUCGGCGGUUGGGGAUGGACUCGCGGCUUAUCGGCUUGUUGGUGGGGUAGUGGCUUACCAAGGCUUUGACGGGUAGCCGGCCUGAGAGGGUGACCGGCCACAUUGGGACUGAGAUACGGCCCAGACUCCUACGGGAGGCAGCAGUGGGGAAUAUUGCACAAUGGGCGGAAGCCUGAUGCAGCAACGCCGCGUGCGGGAUGACGGCCUUCGGGUUGUAAACCGCUUUCGCCUGUGACGAAGGGUGGUGACGGUAGUGGUAGAAGAAGCACCGGCUAACUACGUG
rnacentral:rRNA from 1 species